rnacentral:rRNA from 1 species
GACGAACCGUGCGAACGUUGUUCGGAAUCACUGGGCUUAAAGGGCGCGUAGGCGGGCUGUCAAGUCUGGGGUGAAAUCCCACGGCUCAACCGUGGAACUGCCUCAGAUACUGACGGCCUCGAGGAAGGUAGGGGCGUGCGGAACUGUGAGUGGAGCGGUGAAAUGCGUUGAUAUUCACAGGAACUCCGGUGGCGAAAGCGGCGCGCUGGACCUUUUCUGACGCUGAGGCGCGAAAGCUAGGGGAGCAAACGGG